UGGGGAAUUUUGGACAAUGGGGGAAACCCUGAUCCAGCCAUCCCGCGUGUGCGAUGAAGGCCUUCGGGUUGUAAAGCACUUUUGGCAGGAAAGAAACGUCAUGGGUUAAUACCCCGUGAAACUGACGGUACCUGCAGAAUAAGCACCGGCUAACUACGUGCCAGCAGCCGCGGUAAUACGUAGGGUGCAAGCGUUAAUCGGAAUUACUGGGCGUAAAGCGUGCGCAGGCGGUUCGGAAAGAAAGAUGUGAAAUCCCAGAGCUCAACUUUGGAACUGCAUUUUUAACUACCGGGCUAGGGUGUGUCAGAGGGAGGUGGAAUUCCGCGUGUAGCAGUGAAAUGCGUAGAUAUGCGGAGGAACACCGGUGGCGAAGGCAGCCUCCUGGGAUAACACUGACGCUCAUGCACGAAAGCGUGGGGAGCAAACAGG
rnacentral:rRNA from 1 species